GAAAGGGCGUGAAUACCGACACGCCUGGGCUGGGAUAUCGGAACAUUACUGCGUUCCGGUAGGGAACAGGAAAAAAUCCAGUGCCCGCAGCCUCAAUUUAG
rnacentral:ncRNA from 1 species